rnacentral:rRNA from 1 species
GACGAACGCUGGCGGCGUGCCUAAUACAUGCAAGUAGAACGCUGAAGGAGGAGCUUGCUCUUCUGGAUGAGUUGCGAACGGGUGAGUAACGCGUAGGUAACCUGCCUGGUAGCGGGGGAUAACUAUUGGAAACGAUAGCUAAUACCGCAUAACAACAGUUGUUGCAUGACAGCUGUUUAAAAGAUGCAAUUGCAUCACUACCAGAUGGACCUGCGUUGUAUUAGCUAGUUGGUGAGGUAACGGCUCACCAAGGCAACGAUACAUAGCCGACCUGAGAGGGUGAUCGGCCACACUGGGACUGAGACACGGCCCAGACUCCUACGGGAGGCAGCAGUAGGGAAUCUUCGGCAAUGGACGGAGGUCUGACCGAGCAACGCCGCGUGAGUGAAGAAGGUUUUCGGAUCGUAAAGCUCUGUUGUAAGAGAAGAACGAGUGUGAGAGUGGAAAGUUCACACUGUGACGGUAUCUUACCAGAAAGGGACGGCUAACUACGUGCCAGCAGCCGCGGUAAUACGUAGGUCCCGAGCGUUGUCCGGAUUUAUUGGGCGUAAAGCGAGCGCAGGCGGUUAGAUAAGUCUGAAGUUAAAGGCUGUGGCUUAACCAUAGUACGCUUUGGAAACUGUUUAACUUGAGUGCAAGAGGGGAGAGUGGAAUUCCAUGUGUAGCGGUGAAAUGCGUAGAUAUAUGGAGGAACACCGGUGGCGAAAGCGGCUCUCUGGCUUGUAACUGACGCUGAGGCUCGAAAGCGUGGGGAGCAAACAGG